GAUGAACGCUGGCGGCGUGCCUAAUACAUGCAAGUAGAACGCUGAAGGAAGGAGCUUGCUCUUUCCGGAUGAGUUGCGAACGGGUGAGUAACGCGUAGGUAACCUGCCUGGUAGCGGGGGAUAACUAUUGGAAACGAUAGCUAAUACCGCAUAACAGUAGAUGUUGCAUGAUAUCUACUUAAAAGGUGCAAUUGCACCACUAACAGAUGGACCUGCGUUGUAUUAGCUAGUUGGUGAGGUAACGGCUCACCAAGGCGACGAUACAUAGCCGACCUGAGAGGGUGGUCGGCCACACUGGGACUGUGACACGGCCCAUACUCAUACGGGAGGCAGCAGUAGGGAAUCUUCGGCAAGAGGCGGAAGUCUGGCCGAGCAACGCCGCGUGAGUGAAGAAGGUUUUCGGAUCGGAAAGCUCGGUUGUAAGAGAAGAACGAGUGUGAGAGUGGAAAGUUCACACUGUGACGGUAUCUUACCAGAAAGGGACGGCUAACUACGUG
rnacentral:rRNA from 1 species